UACGGAGGGUGCAAGCGUUAAUCGGAAUUACUGGGCGUAAAGCGCGCGUAGGCGGCUUGGUCAGUUGGGUGUGAAAGCCCGGGCUUAACCUGGGGAACUGCAUCCAAUACUGCCAGGCUAGAGUACGAGAGAGGGGGGUAGAAUUCCGUAGUGUAGCGGUGAAAUGCGUAGAUAUUAGGAGGAAUACCAGUGGCGAAGGC
rnacentral:rRNA from 1 species